CAACCCAUUGUGGAGUCGCAGGACAGGCGGAGAUGCCUCAGGACCCCACCGGAACUCCACCAGGACUCUGUCGGGACCUGGCUAGGACCUGGUGUGCCCCACGCAGCGUGCUCGUAAACCACACACCUUCUUUUCCUGCAGAGAGCAAUGGACUAUAGUAGAACCCUGAGAUAACCAGGACUUCAAGAUCUUCCCAAUGUAACGGCAGAUCCUUGGCCGGACUGCAAAGGACUUUGUCUCUACAUUUGGUCAAGAUUAAAAAGAAAAGAAACAAGUCCAUUAUCAUCACAAGUGUAAUGGUGAUUAUACAAGUACACUGUGAAUGCAAGGUAUUUGGAAAAUGGUGGUGUUUCUCAGGCUACCUAACAACAGCACUACCCAAUCAUUCAUACUAAUAAAAGUAUUAAAAAAGAUUA